rnacentral:rRNA from 1 species
GCGUGAGUGAUGAAGGCCUUAGGGUUGUAAAGCUCUUUUGUCCGGGAGGAUAAUGACCGUACCGGAAGAAUAAGCUCCGGCUAACUUCGUGCCAGCAGCCGCGGUAAUACGAAGGGAGCUAGCGUUGUUCGGAAUUACUGGGCGUAAAGCGCAUGCAGGCGGAUCGUUAAGUCGAGGGUGAAAUCCCAGGGCUCAACCCUGGAACUGCCUUCGAUACUGGCGACCUUGAGUCCGGGAGAGGUGAGUGGAACUCCGAGUGUAGAGGUGAAAUUCGU